rnacentral:rRNA from 1 species
GUACACUCCUGCGGGAGGCAGCAGUGGGGAAUAUUGCACAAUGGGCGCAAGCCUGAUGCAGCCAUGCCGCGUGUAUGAAGAAGGCCUUCGGGUUGUAAAGUACUUUCAGCGGGGAGGAAGGCAAUACGGUUAAUAACCGUGUUGAUUGACGUUACCCGCAGAAGAAGCACCGGCUAACUCCGUGCCAGCAGCCGCGGUAAUACGGAGGGUGCAAGCGUUAAUCGGAAUUACUGGGCGUAAAGCGCACGCAGGCGGUCUGUCAAGUCGGAUGUGAAAUCCCCGGGCUCAACCUGGGAACUGCAUUCGAAACUGGCAGGCUUGAGUCUUGUAGAGGGGGGUAGAAUUCCAGGUGUAGCGGUGAAAUGCGUAGAGAUCUGGAGGAAUACCGGUGGCGAAGGCGGCCCCCUGGACAAAGACUGACGCUCAGGUGCGAAAGCGUGGGGAGCAAACAGGAUUAGAUACCCCUGUAGUCCCAUGAU